GUACACGCUGUGACUAGCAUAUCAAUAAGCGGAGGAAAAGAAACUAACAAGGAUUCCCUUAGUAACGGCGAGUGAAGCGGGAAGAGCUCAAAUUUGAAAUCUUAAAGGGUUUCCCUUGACGAAUUGUAGUUUAAAGAAGUGUUUUCUGCUGAAGUUUUGGUAAAAGUUCUUUGGAAUAGGACAUCAUAGAGGGUGAGAAUCCCGUAUUUGACCAUUAUUUUCAGCUGUGUGAUACACUUUCAAAGAGUCGGAUUGUUUGGGAAUGCAGUCCAAAAUGGGUGGUAAAUUUCAUCUAAAGCUAAAUAUUGGCGAGAGACCGAUAGCGAACAAGUACCGUGAGGGAAAGAUGAAAAGAACUUUGAAAAGAGAGUUAAACAGUACGUGAAAUUGUCAAAAGGGAAGCGUUUAACACCAGUGUUGUUUUCUGAAAAUCAACCUCUGUUAGCUUUAUGCAUGUUUGUUUAGACCUAAUCAGCUAUCUUGCAUGUUCUAUUGUUUGCAGUGGUGCACUUUUCAGUUUACAGGUCAACAUCAGUUUCUUUUUACUGUAAAAAAGUUAAGGAAGGUAGCUCAUGCUUUCGGUAGAAGUGUUUAUAGUCCUUUGUCCUAUGCAAGUAGGAGAGACUGAGGUCUGCAGCGUAGGACUCUUCGGGCUUAGAUACUCAUUGUGCUAAUGUUAUAGCAUUUUAUAGACAACUUGUUGACUAUAAUUUAGUCUAUGUAGCAUUACUCGCUUAUGCUAUUAUACCUACGCUUAGGAUGUUGACGCAUGAGAUAUACGC
rnacentral:rRNA from 1 species